CUGAACCAAAAGUUCCAGCUGCCCCCAAGGAAGCUCCAGGAGUUAGAGUUCCUGAAGUUCGUAAGAAAGUAGCUCCUAAAGAGAAAGUGCCUGUCCGUGUGCCUAAAAAAAUGGAGGCUCCACCACCAAGAGAACCUGCAGAAGAACAGGUGCCCACUUUUGAGAUAGAAGUUGAAGAACCUCCAUCAACAAAAGUGACUGAAGUACACAGAAAAAUUAUCACAGAAGAAAAAGUUGCAGUUGCUAAAAAAGAAGAGGCUCCACCAAAAAGAGGUAUAUCUUUUUUUCAGUGCUACACAAUAGAAGUCUUGUUUCAAGAAUAC